rnacentral:rRNA from 1 species
UACGUAGGUGGCAAGCGUUGUCCGGAUUUACUGGGCGUAAAGGGUGCGUAGGCGGACAUUUACGUCAGCUGUGAAAUUUCCGAGCUUAACUUGGGUGCUGCAUUUGAAACUGGGUGUCUAGAGUGCAGGAGAGGUAAGUGGAAUUCCUAGUGUAGCGGUGAAAUGCGUAGAGAUUAGGAAGAACACCAGUGGCGAAGGCGACUUACUGGACUGUAACUGACGCUGAGGCAUGAAAGCGUGGGGAGCAAACAGG